GACGAACGCUGGCGGCGUGCUUAACACAUGCAAGUCGAACGGAAAGGCCCUGCUUUUGUGGGGUGCUCGAGUGGCGAACGGGUGAGUAACACGUGAGUAACCUGCCCUUGACUUUGGGAUAACUUCAAGAAACUGGGGCUAAUACCGGAUAUGAGCUCCUGCUGCAUGGUGGGGGUUGGAAAGUUUCGGCGGUUGGGGAUGGACUCGCGGCUUAUCAGCUUGUUGGUGGGGUAGUGGCUUACCAAGGCUUUGACGGGUAGCCGGCCUGAGAGGGUGACCGGCCACAUUGGGACUGAGAUACGGCCCAGACUCCUACGGGAGGCAGCAGUGGGGAAUAUUGCACAAUGGGCGGAAGCCUGAUGCAGCAACGCCGCGUGCGGGAUGACGGCCUUCGGGUUGUAAACCGCUUUCGCCUGUGACGAAGCGUGAGUGACGGUAAUGGGUAAAGAAGCACCGGCUAACUACGUG
rnacentral:rRNA from 1 species